rnacentral:lncRNA from 1 species
AUGAGGGAGCGGGGGCUCCAGGUGAUGCAGGGAGUGAGUAGUGGAAGCAGGAUUCCAGUCCCAGACUGCCUGGCAGGCGUGGGGCUCUGGCCCUUGACCUCCCUCUUCUGGAUCAGUUCAAAAGCCUCUAGUGUCCACCUUCCCAUCAGCCUCCUUGCAAAGGCUGCACCAGCUUCAGUGGUGCAGUGCCCUGUUCAAAAUUCACAAAGCAGCAGAUGUUCCAGUGUGGUCUUCAGCGCUCCCCAUGAUCUGACCUUGCCAGACCCUCCAACCUUGUCUGUCCUCUCGGGGAUGGCAGGUGGGAAAUUCAUGGCAUGGUUCUUAUGCUUCCAGCCCUGUGCACAUGCUGGUCCCUCUGUGUGGCUUCUGCUCUUCUUGUCCAACCUCAAGGAUUUUCUCCUCUAUGAAGCUUCUCUGGACUCCCUAGGCAGCCCUCACUCUGCAAUUUUUUUUUUUUUUUUUGCCAUGGUCUCACUCUGUUGCCCAUUUUGGAGUAUAGUCGCAUACAUUACUCGCUGCAGUGUUGAACUCCUGGCCUGGCCUCAAGUGAAUUUCCCACCACAAUCCUUCCAAAUAGCUAAGAGUACAGGCACUUACCACCACAUCUGGCUAACUAAUUUUUUUUGUAGAGACAAGGUCUCCCUAUGCUGCUCAGGUUUGCUUGAACUCCUGGUUUCAAGGGAUCCUUCUGCCUCAGCCUCCCAAAGCACUAGGAAUAUAGACAUGAGAUACUGCACCUGGCCCCUUCCUCUGCACUUUUAUAGCCCAGGGCUACCCCAUCAUAAUGAUCCAUGUACUCUUCUGUCUCUCCCACUGGCCCAUGAGCCCUUGGGGGCAGAAACAGCUGUUUCCCUGCUGUGUUCCUGGUGCCAGCACAGUAGAUGUGCACCAGUGUUGGUGGGCUCUUCCACGGGGCUGGUGAGGUCAGACUGCUCUUCCACACAUGCUCACAGGCCUCCUUUAAUCGUGCCACUCACAUCCUGCCCCAAGAACCCCCAAUGGCUCCCUUCCAACUGGAAGGUCAAAUCCAAACUCCGGGCCUUCAUGCUUCUGUUCACUGGGCCUGGGACAUUGUUUCUUUCCUCUGCUUCUAGCUAG